GUGGGGAAUUUUGGACAAUGGGCGCAAGCCUGAUCCAGCAAUGCCGCGUGUGUGAAGUAGGCCUUCGGGUUGUAAAGCACUUUUGGCAGGAAAGAAAUAGUGCGUGCUAAUACCAUGCGCGAAUGACGGUACCUGCAGAAUAAGCACCGGCUAACUACGUGCCAGCAGCCGCGGUAAGACGUAGGGUGCAAGCGUUAAUCGGAAUUACUGGGCGUAAAGCGUGCGCAGGCGGUUUUGUUAGACAGGUGUGAAAUCCCCGGGCUCAACCUGAGAUCUGCACUUGUGACUGCAAGGCUAGAGUGUGUCAGAGGGAGGUGGAAUUCCGCGUGUAGCAGUGAAAUGCGUAGAGAUGCGGAGGAAUACCGAUGGAGAAGGCAGCCUCCUGGGAUAACACUGACGCUCAGGCGCGAAAGCGUGGGGAGCAAACAGGAUUAGAAACCCUUGUAGUCC
rnacentral:rRNA from 1 species